rnacentral:rRNA from 1 species
GACGAACGCUGGCGGCGUGCUUAACACAUGCGAGUCGAACGGAAAGGCCUGCUUUCCCUUGUGGAUUGCGGGUACUCGAGUGGCGAACGGGUGAGUAACACGUGAGUGAUCUGCCCCCAACUUGGGUAUAAGCCUGGGAAACUGGGUCUAAUUCCCGAUAGGACUGCAGGGUGGUGCCUGUGGUGGAAAACGAUUUUCUAGUGGUUGGGGAUGAGCUCGCGGCCUAUCAGCUUGUUGGUGGGGUAAUGGCCUACCAAGGCGGCGACGGGUAGCCGGCCUGGGGGGGUGGACGGCCACAUUGGGACGGGGUUACGGCCCAGACUCCUCCGGAGGGCGGCGGUGGGGAAUAUUGCACAAUGGGCGGAGGCCUGAUGCAGCGACGCGGCGUGGGGGAUGACGGCCUCCGGUUGUUAAACUCCUUUCGACCGCGAGGAAGCCACCUGGUUGGAAGGUUGGUGCGGUUAUUGGUAGAAGAAGCACCGCCAACUUCCUU